GACGAACGCUGGCGGCGUGCUUAACACAUGCAAGUCGAACGAAGUGGCGAACGGGUGAGUAACGCGUAAUCAACCUGCCCUUCAGAGGGGGACAACAGUGGGAAACGACUGCUAAUACCGAAUACUGAAGGAGGGGAUUGCGUCUGAUUAGCUAGUUGGAGGGGUAACGGCCCACCAAGGCGAUGAUCAGUAGCCGGUUUGAGAGGAUGAACGGCCACAUUGGGACGGGGACCCGGCCCAGACUCCUACGGGAGGCAGCAGUGGGGAAUCGUCCGAAAUGGACGAAAGGCUGACGGAGCAACGCCGCGUGAGUGAUGACGGCCUUCGGGGUGGAAAGCUCUGUUAAUCGGGACGCGGUACCGGAAUAGAAAGCCACGGCUAACUACGUGCCAGCCGCCGCGGUAAUUC
rnacentral:rRNA from 1 species